GAUCAAGGCAUCAAGGGAAAAAAAAAAAAGCCCACUCUUAAAGCAUCAAGGGUUCAUCCAAGAAGUGGAGCCCCAAUUCAAACCCAAUCCAAAAGCCCACUCUUAAAGCCCAAUUCCAAAAACCUAAUUUCAAUUUCUUAUUGGAUCCGGAUCUUUUCCCUUAACCCAAAACCUCAACUCCACAACCCGAUCCAUUAAGAAACCUUCCCCUUCAUCUCACACGCGAUGACACAAUAAGAGAAUCUUCUCUGCUUCACGUUUUUUCCUUGCGGGCUAGGGCACGUGACUUCCCCACACAGGCGCGUCUCCUCCUUCCUUCCUUCUCUCCAGCCGGUAGCCCUGCUUCUUGUCUUCACUGCUGCCGGUCGGAUCUCCAUAGCCCACCCCUUAUUCUUCUUAAUUCUAGCGGCGAUGGCAGUGAGCACAAGUGGCGGGAGCAUCAAGCUUUAGCAGCGACCAUCUUCACCUCGUCAGAGAGGGUUUCUCUGGUGAGACCUCCACCUUCCGGCAACCUUCUGACAACUUACCAUCUGGGGUUCAGACGGCGGAGCAAGGAGGCAGCCAGCAGCCCAAUUUUUCCAGCAAAUUCCAUCCGAGGGGGUUUUCAGUGGCAGAUUCAUGUCAUCCCAUAAUUGUUGUCGAAGUCAACAGCGACCGAUAGUGUGCUACUGGUUACCGGAGUUCGGGCUUCGAUCUCCGGCUCCUUGUGUGACGACAAGGGUAGUCCUUGUUUGAGGGGGUUCAGAACUUGAAAUUUUUUUGAUAAUCGUUUUCACGAUCAUAUCACCCAUCCAGUCAAACAGAGGAAGAGGGAUUUUGAAGCUGAUCAAAAUAAAAUUAUUAAGGAAGAAGUUGACAAGUUAUUGGAGGCAUGCUAUAUUAGAGAGGUUCAGUUCCCAAGCUGGCUAGCUAAUGUUGUCUUGGUAUAUAAACUAGGAAAUAAGUGGCGAGUCUGAUUUCAAGGACCUCAACAAAGCUUGUCCAAAAGAUUAUUAUCUUUUGCCCUGCAUUGAUCAGAUCGGAAGAAAUAUGGAAGUAUAUGUGGACGACAUUCUUAUCAAGUCCUGGUGGGCAUCAGACUAAUUUGUUGAUGUAGAAGAGAUUUGUCGAACCCUAUGGCAAUAUGGGCUCAAGCUAAAUUCAGGCAAAUGUUUAUUUGGAGCAAGAAGUGGGAGGUUCCUCAGACAUAUUAUUACUGAGCGAUAAAUAGAAGCUAAUCUGAGCAAAGUGCAAGCUUUACAAGACAUGAUGCCUUCAUGCAAUUUGAAAGAGGCACAAAGAUUGACCGACCGGAUUAGAGCCUUAUCUUAGUUUAUUUCUCGGUCGGUUGAUCGGAGCUUACCUUUUUUCAAAAUUCUUCGUCGGGCAACCAAAUUUCAAUGGGAUGAGGACUGCAGCAAGACAUUUGAGGAGUUGAAGAAUUAUCUAUCCGCCUUGCCUGUGUUAGCUAAACCUAUAGUGGGGAAGACCUUAUGAGUUUAUUUAUCAGUUAAUGAGCAUGUUGUAGGAGCGACAUUAGUGAGGCAAGAAGGGA